AACGAACGCUGGCGGCAGGCUUAACACAUGCAAGUCGAACGCCCCGCAAGGGGAGUGGCAGACGGGUGAGUAACGCGUGGGAACGUGCCCUUCGCUUCGGAAUAGCCCCGGGAAACUAGGAGUAAUACCGAAUACGCCGUAUUGGGAAAGAUUUAUCGGCGAAGGAUCGGCCCGCGUUAGAUUAGCUAGUUGGCGGUGUAAUGGACCACCAAGGCUACGAUCUAUAGCUGGUCUGAGAGGAUGAUCAGCCACACUGGGACUGAGACACGGCCCAGACUCCUACGGGAGGCAGCAGUGGGGAAUCUUGGACAAUGGGCGCAAGCCUGAUCCAGCCAUGCCGCGUGAGUGAAGAAGGCCUUAGGGUUGUAAAACUCUUUCGCCGGAGAAGAUAAUGACGGUAUCCGGAGAAGAAGCCCCGGCUAACUUCGUGCCAGCAGCCGCGGUAACAC
rnacentral:rRNA from 1 species